AUUGAACGCUGGCGGCAGGCCUAACACAUGCAAGUCGAGCGGAGGAAGGGAGCUUGCUCCUGGAAUCAGCGGCGGACGGGCGAGUAAUGCCUGGGAAUCUGCCUGGUAGUGGGGGAUAACGUCUCGAAAGGGACGCUAAUACCGCGUACGUCCUACGGGAGAAAGCAGGGGAUCUUCGGACCUUGCGCUAUCAGAUGAGCCCAGGCCGGAUUAGCUUGUUGGUGAGGUAAUGGCUCACCAAGGCGACGAUCCGUAGCUGGUCUGAGAGGAUGAUCAGCCACACUGGGACUGAGACACGGCCCAGACUCCUACGGGAGGCAGCAGUGGGGAAUAUUGGACAAUGGGGGCAACCCUGAUCCAGCCAUGCCGCGUGUGUGAAGAAGGCCUUCGGGUUGUAAAGCACUUUCAGUGGUGAGGAAGGCCUGUUGGUUAAUAUCCAACAGGAUUGACGUUAGCCACAGAAGAAGCACCG
rnacentral:rRNA from 1 species